CAACCUGAACAACACAAGAGAGGUUAUCACACAUCAACCUGAACAACACAAGAGAGGUCACCUCACUGGGUCUCACACAUCAACCUGAACAACACAAGAGAGGUCAUCACACAUCAACCUGAACAACACAAGAGAGGUCAUCACACAUCAACCUGAACAACACAAGAGAGGUCAUCACACAUCAACCUGAACAACACAAGAGAGGUUAUCUCACUGGGUCUCACACAUCAACCUGAACAACACAAGAGAGGUCACCUCACUGGGUCUCACACAUCAACCUGAACAACACAAGAGAGGUUAUCUCACUGGGUCUCACACAUCAACCUGAACAACACAAGAGAGGUCACCUCCCUGGGUCUCACACAUUCACCUGAACAACACAAGAGAGGUCAUCACACAUCAACCUGAACAACACAAGAGAGGUCAUCUCACUGGGUCUCACACAUCAACCUGAACAACACAAGAGAGGUCACCUCACUGGGUCUCACACAUCAACCUGAACAACACAAGAGAGGUUAUCUCACUGGGUCUCACACAUCAACCUGAACAACACAAGAGAGGUCACCUCACUGGGUCUCACACAUCAACCUGAACAACACAAGAGAGGUAUCUACACUUGGUCUCACACAUCAACCUGAACAACACAAGAGAGGUCAUCACACAUCAACCUGAACAACACAAGAGAGGUCAUCACACAUCAACCUGAAAAACACAAGAGAGGUCAUCACACAUCAACCUGAACAACACAAGAGAGGUAUCCACACUUGGUCUCACACAUCAACCUGAACAACAGAAGAGAGGUCAUCACACAUCAACCUGAACAACACAAGAGAGGUCAUCACACAUCAACCUGAACA